GAGGUGGCAAUAAGACCUGCUAACUCUUUAAUCUGGGAUUAACCCCCAGCCUCCUC
rnacentral:tRNA from 1 species